GUCCCUUGGGCACCUCACACACUUGGUGGCAGGACUGGGUCAUAAACCGGGGGCCUGUCUCCCAGAGCUACCCACCACUUUGCUCUUCUGGACCUUGCAUGCAUGUCUCUUCUUUUCCAGAAGCCUAGAUUCUUUACUGUCAUGUAAUAUUUAUUCCAAAACACACCAAGUUUCAUGGAGAGCUCCUAAAAGUCAGGAGAGAAGGAGGGAAGAAUGGAAAUCCUUUCCCUACCACUGUCGGAUGUCUCUUUUAUUCCCCCCCAAAUGGGGCCUGUAACCAACUAGAGAGCAGAGAAAAUAAUGAUCUUAAACACAGACACACACACACACACACACACACACACACCCCUCC
rnacentral:lncRNA from 1 species